rnacentral:rRNA from 1 species
CAAGUCGAACGAAGGCUUUGGCCUUAGUGGCGCACGGGUGCGUAACGCGUGGGAAUCUGCCCUCAGGUUCGGAAUAACAGCGAGAAAUUGCUGCUAAUACCGGAUGAUAUCGCGAGAUCAAAGAUUUAUCGCCUGAGGAUGAGCCCGCGUAGGAUUAGCUAGUUGGUGUGGUAAAGGCGCACCAAGGCGACGAUCCUUAGCUGGUCUGAGAGGAUGAUCAGCCACACUGGGACUGAGACACGGCCCAGACUCC